GAUGAACGCUGGCGGCGUGCCUAAUACAUGCAAGUCGAGCGAACAGACGAGGAGCUUGCUCCUCUGACGUUAGCGGCGGACGGGUGAGUAACACGUGGAUAACCUACCUAUAAGACUGGGAUAACUUCGGGAAACCGGAGCUAAUACCGGAUAAUAUAUUGAACCGCAUGGUUCAAUAGUGAAAGACGGUUUUGCUGUCACUUAUAGAUGGAUCUGGGCCGCAUUAGCUAGUUGGUAAGGUAACGGCUUAGCAAGGCGACGAUGCGUAGCCGAACUGAGGGGGUGGUCGGCCACCCUGGAACUGAGACACGGUCCAGACGCCUGCGGGAGGGCGCAGUAGGGAACCUGCCGCAAUGGGCGAAAACCUUACGGAACAACGCCACGUGAGUGAUGAAGGUCUUCGGAGCGGAAAACUCUGUUAUUAGUGAAGAACAAAUGUGUAAGUAACUAUGCACGUCUUGACGGUACCUGAUCAGAAAGCCACGGCUAACUACGUG
rnacentral:rRNA from 1 species